rnacentral:rRNA from 1 species
UGGGGAAUAUUGCACAAUGGGCGCAAGCCUGAUGCAGCCAUGCCGCGUGUGUGAAGAAGGCCUUCGGGUUGUAAAGCACUUUCAGCGGGGAGGAAGGCGGUGAGGUUAAUAACCUCAUCGAUUGACGUUACCCGCAGAAGAAGCACCGGCUAACUCCGUGCCAGCAGCCGCGGUAAUACGGAGGGUGCAAGCGUUAAUCGGAAUUACUGGGCGUAAAGCGCACGCAGGCGGUCUGUCACGUCGGAUGUGAAAUCCCCGGGCUCAACCUGGGAACUGCAUUGGAAACUGGCAGGCUAGAGUCUUGUAGAGGGGGGUAGAAUUCCAGGUGUAGCGGUGAAAUGCGUAGAGAUCUAGAGGAAUACCGGUGGCGAAGGCGGCCCCCUGGACAAAGACUGACGCUCAGGUGCGAAAGCGUGGGGAGCAAACAGG